rnacentral:rRNA from 1 species
UAGGGAAUCUUCGGCAAUGGGGGGAACCCUGACCGAGCAACGCCGCGUGAGUGAAGAAGGUUUUCGGAUCGUAAAGCUCUGUUGUUAAGGAAGAACGAGUGUGAGAAUGGAAAGUUCAUACUGUGACGGUACUUAACCAGAAAGGGACGGCUAACUACGUGCCAGCAGCCGCGGUAAUACGUAGGUGGCAAGCGUUGUCCGGAUUUAUUGGGCGUAAAGCGAGCGCAGGCGGUCAAUUAAGUCUGAUGUGAAAGCCCCCGGCUCAACCGGGGAGGGUCAUUGGAAACUGGUUGACUUGUGUGCAGAAGAGGAGAGUGGAAUUCCAUGUGUAGCGGUGAAAUGUGUAGAUAUAUGGAGGAACACCGGUGGCGAAAGCGGCUCUCUGGUCUGUAACUGACGCUGAGGCUCGAAAGCGUGGGGAGCGAACAGG